GCACCUAGCGAAACAUCUAGUGUGCCGGAUGGUGUGAAGGUCCACAGGAUGGUGGCUAUUUUUGAUUAUGACCCAUGGGAAAGUUCUCCAAACAUGGAUAUUGCGGAUGAGCUUCCCUUUCGUGCAGGAGACAUUAUAUAUGUUUUUGGAGAAAUGGACAGUGAUGGAUUUUAUUAUGGAGACCUACAUGGUUACCGAGGUCUUGUGCCAUCAAACUUUUUGCAAGCCCUGCCUUGGGACUAAAGGAACUGAGCAAUCAGA